UCCUCCAGAGAAGAACAAGAAGAAUUUGAGGAGGAAGAAGAGAUGGAGGAAGAAGAUGAAGAUGAGAAACACUUUUCUUCCUUUUUAUUUCUUCUCAACCCAAUGCCUAGAUCUAGAAAAGAAACCCUAGACCCUUCUGAUGCCAAGAUGGAUGUCGCCCACCCCUAUAACCCAUGCUCUAAGUAAUCUCAUGCUAAGAAAAAAUUUCCAUGAUGAUUUUAGAUAUUUUUCAUGCCAAAAGGAGGGUCCUUUUAUGGUAGGCAUCCAAUAGAGUUUGGAUG
rnacentral:lncRNA from 1 species